ACUAUCGGUGGUUCAGUGGUAGAAUGCUCGCCUGCCACCUAGGCGGCCCGGGUUCGAUUCCCGGCUGAUGCA